GGGUUGUGAGGUUAAGCGACUAAGCGUACACGGUGGAUGCCCUGGCAGUCAGAGGCGAUGAAGGACGUGCUAAUCUGCGAAAAGCGCCGGCGAGGUGAUAUGAACCUUUGACCCGGCGAUGUCCGAAUGGGGAAACCCAGUGCAAUUCGUUGCACUAUCGUUAACUGAAUACAUAGGUUAACGAGGCGAACCGGGGGAACUGAAACAUCUAAGUACCCCGAGGAAAAGAAAUCAACCGAGAUUCCCCCAGUAGCGGCGAGCGAACGGGGAGCAGCCCAGAGUCUGAAUCAGCUUGUGUGUUAGUGGAAGCGUCUGGAAAGUCGCACGGUACAGGGUGACAGUCCCGUACACGAAAGCACACAGGCUGUGAACUCGAAGAGUAGGGCGGGACACGUGGUAUCCUGUCUGAAUAUGGGGGGACCAUCCUCCAAGGCUAAAUACUCCUGACUGACCGAUAGUGAACCAGUACCGUGAGGGAAAGGCGAAAAGAACCCCGGCGAGGGGAGUGAAAAAGAACCUGAAACCGUGUACGUACAAGCAGUGGGAGCACCUUCGUGGUGUGACUGCGUACCUUUUGUAUAAUGGGUCAGCGACUUAUAUUCUGUAGCAAGGUUAACCGUAUAGGGGAGCCGAAGGGAAACCGAGUCUUAACUGGGCGUUAAGUUGCAGGGUAUAGACCCGAAACCCGGUGAUCUAGCCAUGGGCAGGUUGAAGGUUGGGUAACACUAACUGGAGGACCGAACCGACUAAUGUUGAAAAAUUAGCGGAUGACUUGUGGCUGGGGGUGAAAGGCCAAUCAAACCGGGAGAUAGCUGGUUCUCCCCGAAAGCUAUUUAGGUAGCGCCUCGUGAACUCAUCUUCGGGGGUAGAGCACUGUUUCGGCUAGGGGGCCAUCCCGGCUUACCAACCCGAUGCAAACUACGAAUACCGAAGAAUGUUAUCACGGGAGACACACGGCGGGUGCUAACGUCCGUCGUGAAGAGGGAAACAACCCAGACCGCCAGCUAAGGUCCCAAAGUCAUGGUUAAGUGGGAAACGAUGUGGGAAGGCACAGACAGCCAGGAUGUUGGCUUAGAAGCAGCCAUCAUUUAAAGAAAGCGUAAUAGCUCACUGGUCGAGUCGGCCUGCGCGGAAGAUGUAACGGGGCUAAACCAUGCACCGAAGCUGCGGCAGCGACACUUAUGUGUUGUUGGGUAGGGGAGCGUUCUGUAAGCCGUUGAAGGUGGCCUGUGAGGGUUGCUGGAGGUAUCAGAAGUGCGAAUGCUGACAUAAGUAACGAUAAAGCGGGUGAAAAGCCCGCUCGCCGGAAGACCAAGGGUUCCUGUCCAACGUUAAUCGGGGCAGGGUGAGUCGACCCCUAAGGCGAGGCCGAAAGGCGUAGUCGAUGGGAAACAGGUUAAUAUUCCUGUACUUGGUGUUACUGCGAAGGGGGGACGGAGAAGGCUAUGUUAGCCGGGCGACGGUUGUCCCGGUUUAAGCAUGUAGGCGGAGGUUCCAGGUAAAUCCGGUACCUUUUAACGCUGAGGUGUGAUGACGAGGCACUACGGUGCUGAAGUAACAAAUGCCCUGCUUCCAGGAAAAGCCUCUAAGCAUCAGGUAACACGAAAUCGUACCCCAAACCGACACAGGUGGUCAGGUAGAGAAUACCAAGGCGCUUGAGAGAACUCGGGUGAAGGAACUAGGCAAAAUGGUGCCGUAACUUCGGGAGAAGGCACGCUGAUAUGUAGGUGAAGCCCCUGCGGGUGGAGCUGAAAUCAGUCGAAGAUACCAGCUGGCUGCAACUGUUUAUUAAAAACACAGCACUGUGCAAACACGAAAGUGGACGUAUACGGUGUGACGCCUGCCCGGUGCCGGAAGGUUAAUUGAUGGGGUUAGCGGCAACGCGAAGCUCUUGAUCGAAGCCCCGGUAAACGGCGGCCGUAACUAUAACGGUCCUAAGGUAGCGAAAUUCCUUGUCGGGUAAGUUCCGACCUGCACGAAUGGCGUAAUGAUGGCCAGGCUGUCUCCACCCGAGACUCAGUGAAAUUGAACUCGCUGUGAAGAUGCAGUGUACCCGCGGCAAGACGGAAAGACCCCGUGAACCUUUACUAUAGCUUGACACUGAACACUGGUCCUUGAUGUGUAGGAUAGGUGGGAGGCUUUGAAGCGUGGACGCCAGUCUGCGUGGAGCCAUCCUUGAAAUACCACCCUUUAAUGGCUGGUGUUCUAACGUAGACCCGUAAUCCGGGUUGCGGACAGUGUCUGGUGGGUAGUUUGACUGGGGCGGUCUCCUCCCAAAGAGUAACGGAGGAGCACGAAGGUUAGCUAAUCCUGGUCGGACAUCAGGAGGUUAGUGCAAUGGCAUAAGCUAGCUUGACUGCGAGAGUGACGGCUCGAGCAGGUGCGAAAGCAGGUCAUAGUGAUCCGGUGGUUCUGAAUGGAAGGGCCAUCGCUCAACGGAUAAAAGGUACUCCGGGGAUAACAGGCUGAUACCGCCCAAGAGUUCAUAUCGACGGCGGUGUUUGGCACCUCGAUGUCGGCUCAUCACAUCCUGGGGCUGAAGUAGGUCCCAAGGGUAUGGCUGUUCGCCAUUUAAAGUGGUACGCGAGCUGGGUUUAGAACGUCGUGAGACAGUUCGGUCCCUAUCUGCCGUGGGCGCUGGAGAAUUGAGGGGGGCUGCUCCUAGUACGAGAGGACCGGAGUGGACGCAUCACUGGUGUUCGGGUUGUCAUGCCAAUGGCACUGCCCGGUAGCUAAAUGCGGAAAAGAUAAGUGCUGAAAGCAUCUAAGCACGAAACUUGCCCC
rnacentral:rRNA from 1 species